rnacentral:lncRNA from 1 species
UAAAAUUUUAGAAAUAAUAGACUAACAUUUUGUUAUUUUGCGCAAUUAGCAAAUCUUUAAAAACAACUAAAAUUACAUAUACAUAUAUAAUAUAUAUAAAUAUUAAGAAGAACAAAAUGAUUGCUUAUAAAUGUAAGAAUACCAUUUAUGGAUUUAAAAAAGGUAAUAUAUAUAUAUAUGUAUGCGUAUAUACUGUGGUCGUUUAAAAACAGAAAUAUAAUUGCAUGUUGUGUUUUGAUUGUUUAUUUUUUUUUUUUUUUUGAUUUAUUUAUUUUUAUUUGUUUUUACUUGUUUUUACUAGUUUUUAUUUGUUUUUAUUAGUUUUUAUUUGUUUUUAUCUGUUUUUAUAUGAUUUUGCUUUUUUUUAAUAUAUUUUUUACAGAAUAUGAAUUGUUGAACCCGUGUAAGUAUACAGUAAAAUAUAAAUCGCAUUUUGUAGAUAAACUACAUAUAUAUGAUUCGAAUGGUGAUACUUCCAAAGAUGAAGGGAUAUGGUAUAACAACAGAACAAACCACUUGGAAGAUUGUUUUAAAGGUAUUGAACGCAUUUUUUUUUUUUUUUUUAUAAAAAUUUUGGGGUUUACGAUGAGUCAGAUGUUAGUUGUUGUAUUUAAAAAUAUAUCUUACGUUAAUUUUAAAAAUGGUACAAAUAAUACUUUAGAUAAUACAGUUAAGGAUAGAAGUAGUGUUAAACACAAAAUUUAUUUUAGUUUCUUUAUUGUACUUUUAAAUGGUACGCGAAUGGAUUAUAGCAUGAUUGGAAUGUUUAUCUAUGAAUAUUAUUGUAGCAACGGAGAUUAUUGUAGCAACGGUAAUUAUAGUAACAGUGGAGAUUAUGGCAACAGUGGAGAUUAUGGUAACAGUGGAGAUUAUGGUAACAGUGGAGAUUAUGGUAACAGUGGAGAUUAUGGUAACAGUGGAGAUAAUAAUGACAACAAUGGAGAUUAUGGUAACAGUGGAGAUAAUAAUGACAACAAUGGAGAUAAUGAAAGUAGUGACGAUGAUGAGAACAGUGACGAUGAUGAAAACAGUGACGAUGAUGAGAACAGUGACGAUGAUGAAAACAGUGACGAUGAUGAGAACAGUGACGAUGAUGAAAACAGUGACAAUAAUAAAAAUAGAUACAAUAAAAAUGCCACUAUUAAGGUAAAUAGUAAAGGAAGCAGUAACGGGGAAAAUGGCAGUACGCAACAUGUGUUUAGUCAAAAAUAUAGUAUCGCUGAAAUAAGUAAAAAUGAUUAUAAUAUAAAUGACAAUUAUAGUAAUGAUACGACAAACACUAACAGUACGAUAACUACGAACUGUACUUGCAAUAGUACAAACAAUACUUUAUGCGAACGUAACGACAAAAUAAAUGCAAACUUUAUAAAAGAGAGUGUACUUGGACAUAAUAAUACUAAUGAUGCUAAGAAUGACACUAAUAAUGACACUAAUAAUGAUACUAAUAAUGACACUAAUAAUGAUACUAAUAAUGAUACUAAUAAUGAUACUAAUAAUGAUACUAAUAAUGAUACUAAUAAUGACAUAUCUUUAAAUAAUAUUAGUAUCGUGGAAAAUAACAAAUCAGAGUUUAGAAUGAAUAAAAAUGAAAUUACAAAUGAUAUUAAAACUGAUAUUAAAGCUGAUAUUAAAAAUGAAAUUAAAAUUGAAAAAAGAUAUAACACGCGAGGAUGCACUAAUAAGUUAAUAGGGCAUAUGAAUAAACCGAAUAAUGACGAUAAUGAUAUUUAUAGUAAAUAUAAUAUUUAUGAUUUUUAUUUCACUAAACGUCCUUACAGUAGUAAUCUAAAUGAAGAAAACAAUAUAACUACUAAGAAACCUAGGAAUAGUCAUAAGAUUAAUGAAAAAUCACAAAAAUUAAAUAAUACCAACAAGAAUAAUAAGCAGAACGAGAAUAGUGAUAUCGAUAAGAAAAAUAUUGACAUGAAUUCUGAUGAAAAUAGUGAUAUCAUUAACAGUGAUAAUAAAUCAAACAAUAAUAGUGAGCAUAGUAGUACUGUAAAUAGUAGAGUAAGGAGAGGAAUGAAAAACAAUAUGAAAAAGAGAGGGCGUAAAAGGGGAAGUAAAAAAGUAAAUAAAAGAGCACGUAAUAGUGUGAGUAAUACCCGUAAUAAAAAAAUUGUAAAUAAAAUUAAAAAUAAAACUAUGGUUGAUAUUGUGAGUGAAAUUGAGAGUAACAGUGUAAGUAAAAGCGUAAAUGCCAGUGUAAGUAACAGCGUAAAUGCCAGUGUAAGUCAAAGCAUAACUGACAGUGUAAGUCAAAGCAUAAAUGACAAUGUAAGUCAAAGCGUAAAUGACCGUGUAAGUCAAAGCGUAAAUGACCGUGUAAGUCAAAGCGUAAAUGUCCGUGUAAGUCAAAGCGUAAAUGACAGUGUAAGUCAAAGCGUAAAUGACAGUGUAAGUCAAAGCGUAAAUGACAGUGUAAGUCAAAGCGUAAAUGACAGUGUAAGUCAAAGCGUAAAUGACAGUGUAAGUCAAAGCGUAAAUGACAGUGUAAGUCAAAGCGUAAAUGACNNNNNNNNNNNNNNNNNNNNNNNNNNNNNNNNNNNNNNNNNNNNNNNNNNNNNNNNNNNNNNNNNNNNNNNNNNNNNNNNNNNNNNNNNNNNNNNNNNNNGUAAAAAAGUUACUACAGUUAGGACCGGACGCAGAAGAUUUUCUAAGUAUUUAUUUGCUACUAUGGAUAUUACACAAAGUAAUUUCAAACCAAGAACAAAAUUUUCGACUAAUGAAGAAUAUUUAGAAUAUAAAAAUGAACGACGUGCGGCUGCAUUGGGUAAUUAUCUAAGGUAUUGCAAUAGAAGAAGAAAAAAAAAAAAAAAAACUACAUAUAGCGAUUCUAAUGAUAAAAGAAAAAAUAAAUUUAAAAAUAUCGAAAAAUACUUAACAUCUGAAGAAGAAGUAACAUCUGAAGAAGAAGUGACAUCUGAAGAAGAAGUAACAGAUAAAAAAAAUCUAACAGCUAAAAAAAAGGUAACAGCUAAAAAAAAGGUAACAGAUAAAAAAAAAGGAACAGAUAAAAAAAAAGGAACAGGUAAAAAAAAUGUAGCAGAUAAAAAAAAUGUAGCAGAUAAAAAAAAUGUAGUAGAUAAAAAAAAUGUAGAAGAUAAAAAAAAUGUAACAGAUAAAAAAAAUGUAACAGAUAAAAAAAAUGUAACUGAUAAAAAAAAUGUAACUGAUAAAAAAAAUAGUAGUAUGAAAUUAAAUAAUAAUGACAAUAUAAACUUUAAAGAAGAAACUAGCAGUUAUAAGAAGUUGAAUAAUAAAAAAAAUGAUAAAUCUAUUUUUAAUAAUAAAGUUGAUAAUGAUAUUUUUAAUGUAAAUAAUAACCUUUUCGGUAUUAAUUUUAAUGCAACUGAUGAAACAAGUGACAGUAACGGAAGCGAUAAUAAAAACGAUAGUAGAAACAAUAAUAGAAAUAGUAAUAGAAAAAAUAAUAGAAACAAUGGUGGAAAUGAUCAUGGAAACGAUAGUGGAAACAAUAAUAGAGACAAUAAUAGAAACAAUAUUAGAAACAAUAGUGGAAACAAUAACGGAAACGAUAACGGAAGCAACAGCAACAAUUGUCAAAUUAAUGAAAAUAGUGUUUCUUUAAAUAAAAGUGACUUCUUAUGCGAUACAAAUAAUUAUGACUCUUAUAAUUCGACUAGUUAUAAUAGUAAUAUUUUUUUUGAUGGUAAUGCUUCUUCUAAUGAGUCAAUAUUUUACAGUAAUCCUUAUAAUGCUGAUCGAGGUCAUAACAACUUAAAUCUUUUUAAUUUUGUUUUAUAUAAUGUUAUUCGUACACAUAAUCAUAAUAACUUUUUGGACAUACCUAAUUAUGUGAAUAGUGGUAAUAACUCAUUUCUAAGUAAUUGUGAUUUGAAUAAUACAUAUCGCACUUAUUAUAAUGACAUGUUGCGCCACCAUAUCAAUAGUCAAAAUAAUUUU